rnacentral:lncRNA from 1 species
CCGCCUGCGCGGGGCACGUGACCAUCAGGCCCACAUGAGGGGGCCUUUCCAGAUGUUGUCCGGUUCCGAGGUCCGUACGCGCGCGCAUGCACCGCACUUAAACUCUCACUGAUUUUGCUUCUCCCCAAAAUGCAUCUGCAGGAUUUGGAAACACCCAUCUCAUAUGCCCAGGCUCUAGAACAAGCUUCAUGAUCAUGCUUCAAAUAUCAGUUUCAUGCAAUAUAUCAUAACCAUAACCCAUACCCAAUCAUAUAUCCAUG